UACAGAGGUCUCGAGCGUUAGGCGGAAUCACUGGGCUUAAAGCGUGUGUAGGUGGAUCGUUAAGUACCUUGUGAAAUCCCACGGCUUAACCGUGGAACUGCUUGGUAUACUGGCGGUCUUGAGCCACUUAGGGGCUACCGGAACAAAUGGUGGAGCGGUGAAAUGCGUAGAUAUCGCUUGGAACGCCAAAGGUGAAAACAGGUUGCUGGGGGUUGUGCCAACGCUGAGACACGAAAGCCAGGGGAGCAAAACGGGG
rnacentral:rRNA from 1 species